rnacentral:rRNA from 1 species
AUUGAACGCUGGCGGCAGGCUUAACACAUGCAAGUCGAGCGGGGUGAUGGUGCUUGCACUAUCACUUAGCGGCGGACGGGUGAGUAAUGCUUAGGAAUCUGCCUAUUAGUGGGGGACAACAUCUCGAAAGGGAUGCUAAUACCGCAUACGUCCUACGGGAGAAAGCAGGGGAUCACUUGUGACCUUGCGCUAAUAGAUGAGCCUAAGUCGGAUUAGCUAGUUGGUGGGGUAAAGGCCUACCAAGGCGACGAUCUGUAGCGGGUCUGAGAGGAUGAUCCGCCACACUGGGACUGAGACACGGUCCAGACUCCUACGGGAGGCAGCAGUGGGGAAUUUUGGACAAUGGGGGCAACCCUGAUCCAGCAAUGCCGCGUGAGUGAAGAAGGCCUUCGGGUUGUAAAGCUCUUUUGUCAGGGAAGAAACGGUGAAGGCUAAUAUCCUUUGCUAAUGACGGUACCUGAAGAAUAAGCACCGGCUAACUACGUGCCAGCAGCCGCAGUAA